rnacentral:rRNA from 1 species
GAUGAACGCUAGCUACAGGCUUAACACAUGCAAGUCGAGGGGCAGCGGGAUUGAAGCUUGCUUCAAUUGCCGGCGACCGGCGCACGGGUGAGUAACGCGUAUCCAACCUUCCGUACACUCAGGGAUAGCCUUUCGAAAGAAAGAUUAAUACCUGAUGGUAUCUUAAGCACACAUGUAAUUAAGAUUAAAGAUUUAUCGGUGUACGAUGGGGAUGCGUUCCAUUAGGUAGUAGGCGGGGUAACGGCCCACCUAGCCUACGAUGGAUAGGGGUUCUGAGAGGAAGGUCCCCCACAUUGGAACUGAGACACGGUCCAAACUCCUACGGGAGGCAGCAGUGAGGAAUAUUGGUCAAUGGACGAGAGUCUGAACCAGCCAAGUAGCGUGAAGGAUGAAGGUCCUACGGAUUGUAAACUUCUUUUAUAAGGGAAUAAAACCUCCCACGUGUGGGAGCUUGUAUGUACCUUAUGAAUAAGCAUCGGCUAACUCCGUG